AAGACGAACGCUGGCGGCGUGCCUAACACAUGCAAGUCGAGCGGAGUUAACAAGAGGAAGUUUCGGAUGGAAUUUGUAAUUAGCGGCGGACGGGUGAGUAACGCGUGAGCGACCAACCUUGCACAGGGGGAUAACGGACCGAAAGGUUCACUAAUACCGCAUGAGACCACGGUGUUGCAUGACACAGAGGUCAAAGGAGCAAUCCGGUGCAAGACGGGCUCGCGUCCGAUUAGGUAGUUGGUGGGGUAAUGGCCCACCAAGCCUAUGAUCGGUAGCCGACCUGAGAGGGUGAUCGGCCACAUUGGAACUGAGAUACGGUCCAAACUCCUACGGGAGGCAGCAGUGGGGAAUAUUGGGCAAAUGGGGGAAACCCUGACCCAGCAACGCCGCGUGAAGGAAGAAGGUUUUCGGAUUGUAAACUUCUGUCCUUGGUGAAGAGAAGGAGACGGUAGCCAAGGAGGAAGCCCCGGCUAACUACGUGCCAGCCGCUGC
rnacentral:rRNA from 1 species